AUGGAGGAGGAAAAUACAACAUUGCUGACAGAGUUUGUUCUCACAGGAUUUUUAUAUCAACCACAGUGGAAAAUACCCCUGUUCCUGGCAUUCUUGGUAAUAUAGCUCAUCACCAUCAUGGGGAAUCUUGGUCUAAUUGUUCUCAUCUGGAAAGACCCUCACCUUCAUAUCCCAAUGUAUUUAUUCCGUGGGAGUUUGGCCUUUGUGGAUGCUUGGUUAUCAUCCACAGUGACUCCAAAGAUGCUGAUCAACUUCUUAGCUAAGAGUAAGAUGAUAUCUCUCUCUGAAUGCAUGGUACAAUUUUUUUCCUUUGUAAUCAGUGUAACCACAGAAUGUUUUAUCUCGGCAUCAAUGGCAUAUGAUCGCUAUGUAGCCAUUUGCAAAGCUUUACUUUAUCCAGUCAUUAUGACCAACGGACUAUGCAUCCAGCUAUUAGUCUUGUCAUUUAUAGGUGGCCUUCUUCAUGCUUUAAUCCAUGAAAUUUUUUUAUUCAGAUUAACCUUCUGUAAUUCCAACAUAAUACAACACUUUUACUGUGACAUUAUCCCAUUGUUAAAGAUUUCCUGUACUGAUUCUUUUAUUAACUUUCUAAUGGUUUUUAUUUUCGCAGAUUCAAUUCAAGUUUUUACCAUUGGAACUAUUCUUAUAUCUUAUACACUUGUCCUCCUUAUAAUCUUAAAAAAUAAGUCUGUCAAAGGGAUACAAAAAGCUGUCUCCACCUGUGGAGCUCAUCUCUUAUCUGUAUCUUUAUACUAUGGGCCCCUUGUCUUCAUGUAUGUGGGCUCUGCAUCCCCGCAAGCAGAUGACCAAGAUAUGAUGGAGUCUCUAUUUUACACUGUCAUCGUUCCUUUAUUAAAUUCCAUGAUCUACAGCCUGAGAAACAAGCAAGUAAUAGCUUCAUUCACAAAAAUGUUCAAAAGAAAUGUUUAG
rnacentral:lncRNA from 1 species